rnacentral:rRNA from 1 species
UACGUAGGGGGCUAGCGUUGUCCGGAAUCAUUGGGCGUAAAGCGCGUGUAGGCGGUCCGGUAAGUCCGCUGUGAAAGUCGGGGGCUCAACCCUCGGAUGCCGGUGGAUACUGUCGGGCUUGAGUACGGAAGAGGCGAGUGGAAUUCCUGGUGUAGCGGUGAAAUGCGCAGAUAUCAGGAGGAACACCAGCGGCGAAGGCGGCAUCCUGGACUGGUCCUGACACUCAGGAGCGAAAGCGUGGGGAGCGAUCCGG